rnacentral:rRNA from 1 species
AACGAACGCUGGCGGCAUGCCUAACACAUGCAAGUCGAACGAAGCCUUCGGGCUUAGUGGCGCACGGGUGAGUAACACGUACAUAACUUGCCCUCAAGCGGGGGAUAGCCUUGGGAAACUGAGAGUAAUACCCCAUAGAAUUAUUGGACGGCAUCGUUUGAUAAUUAAAACUACGGUGUUUGGGGAUAGAUGUGCGUCUGAUUAGCUAGUUGGUGAGGUAACUGCUCACCAAGGCGACGAUCAGUAGGGGGCGUGAGAGCGUGGCCCCCCCACACGGGUACUGAGACACGGACCCGACUCCUACGGGAGGCAGCAGUAAGGAAUAUUGGUCAAUGGACGAAAGUCUGAACCAGCCAUCCCGCGUGCAGGAUGAAGGUCCUAUGGAUUGUAAACUGCUUUUAGCAGAGAAGAAAAGCAUCCUUUUAAGGGUGUCUGACGGUAUCUGCGGAAUAAGCACCGGCUAACUCCGUGCCAGCAGCCGCGGUAAAGUAGUCGUG